rnacentral:misc_RNA from 1 species
UCUCCGUAGGUGAACCGGCGGAGGGAUCAUUACCAAUAACUGUUUUAUGGCACUUUUUAAACACUCCUUAUCCACCUUGUGUGCUACUUUAUGAGACCCUCUAUCGUUAUCUUUUAGGUCACGGUAGGGGGAACCGCUACACCUUACCACCAUCUCCUUUAACCUAUUUGUCUGAACAUUUAUUAUCCCGAAUUAUCUAAACUCGAUGAUACAACUUUCAACAACGGAUCUCUUGGCUCUC